UACGAAGGGGGCUAGCGUUGUUCGGAUUUACUGGGCGUAAAGCGCACGUAGGCGGAUCGUUAAGUCGGGGGUGAAAUCCUGGAGCUCAACUCCAGAACUGCCUUUGAUACUGAAGAUCUUGAGUUCGGGAGAGGUGAGUGGAACUGCGAGUGUAGAGGUGAAAUUCGUAGAUAUUCGCAAGAACACCAGUGGCGAAGGCGGCUCACUGGCCCGGUACUGACGCUGAGGUGCGAAAGCGUGGGGAGCAAACAGG
rnacentral:rRNA from 1 species